rnacentral:rRNA from 1 species
GAUGAACGCUGGCGGCGUGCCUAAUACAUGCAAGUCGAGCGAACAGACGAGGAGCUUGCUCCUCUGACGUUAGCGGCGGACGGGUGAGUAACACGUGGAUAACCUACCUAUAAGACUGGGAUAACUUCGGGAAACCGGAGCUAAUACCGGAUAAUAUAUUGAACCGCAUGGUUCAAUAGUGAAAGACGGUUUUGCUGUCACUUAUAGAUGGAUCCGCGCCGCAUUAGCUAGUUGGUAAGGUAACGGCUUACCAAGGCGACGAUGCGUAGCCGACCUGAGAGGGUGAUCGGCCACACUGGAACUGAGACGCGGUCCAGACUCCUAAGGGAGGCAGCAGUAGGGAAUCUUCCGCAAUGGGCGAAAGCCUGACGGAGCAACGCCGCGUGAGUGAUGAAGGUCUUCGGAUCGUAAAACUCUGUUAUUAGGGAAGAACAAAUGUGGAAGUAACUAUGCACGUCUUGACGGUACCUAAUCAGAAAGCCACGGCUAACUACGUG